AGCUUCAGAAUCAUUUUCUAUCAGAAGCAAUGUCAUUGUUUAAAAAUCUGCUGACAACUUUGUCCCAAACACUAUAAAGUCAUGUGCCACUCCCUUCUCUCGUUUCCAGCUCAUCUCUAAAAAAUUAUGAAAGCUGAAAUCUGUCAUGUUCAAUCAGAGAGCGGCACGUUGACAAGGGCAGUGCAUGCUGUGAAGCUGUGGAAGCUGCCCUAUACUGCAGUACUCUGGCUUCUUCCACCUUAGUGCAUCUGCCAACCAGCUUGGGCUCUUCACUGAAGAUCCUGUGGAGCAGGAAAAUGUUUUCUGCUGAUUGUCAUCCUAUACUGUGAUGUCCAGACUUUUGUUGUUGGAAAACCAUGGUAACAUCAGUCAGUCCUCUCACAUUAUAUAAGGGACACUGUGACCUGCUUUGACCAAUGGAUGGAGUUAAUACAGGACCAAAUGUAAAGCCUGAUUGGAGAGAAGUACCUGAGAGACCUUCUGUGCCCCAGAAAAUUUUUCUAGAUGAGAGACCUUUUUUUAUUACAGAGAAGUAUCAAGGGAGUACAAACACCUCUCUGAAAACCACAAGUUAUUUUGGCAAUUUUUUCAGGCAGGGAACCUGAAGAAAAGGAACUCAGAAUUCACAAAGAAAUUUAUUGCUGAAAUCUACAGAAAAAAAGCUGAUAGAUAAGAGAGGUAAACUGCGGGGAGAACACCAUUCCUGCUCCGUGCAUCACAUCACUACAGAUACUUUUCUCUCUUGAUGUUUCUGCAGUAAAUACUCUGAUCAUGUUUUUGCUAUUUAUUCUACCCACUUGCUCUGUGCACUUUAGUCUCUCUGGAAGGCCCUUGCAUGUGGCCCUAGUUGUUUCCCUAUCAUUGUCCUGUUACGAAGUAUCAAAGUGUGGUUGAUCUUGAUGCCGGAAACACAGACAGGAUGCUUAGUAAAGAAACAAGAACUUAAAAACAUUUAAAAGAAUUUAUGGAGUCACUUCUGGGAUCUCCUUCUGCCAAGGAUGCAGUCAUCGAAGAUCUCCUCAGUGCACUCACAGACUACAUGUUCCAUUUGUAGGGAGGGGUGGAGGGAUACUUUCCAUGUACUGAAAGGAUCAUCUGUCUUGGGAUUUCUGUGAAUUUUAGAGAUGAGAGGACAUAGCACAGAGAUAUAAAGUGUGAGCAUUUCUGUCUUCUUGAGAACACGAUUAAUCCU